GUCGGGCCUUUGUUGCCUGCUGAGGAGUAGGGAAGGCGCUGGCGUUGGGGCACCAGGGGACAGGGGGCGUCCCAAGGGCCUUUUGUGUCACCAGCACAGUGUUGCCGAGUGGGCAGUGGUUUGCCCAGUGACGGGGACGGCGGCUGUGGCCCCUCACCCGGCACCGCGCCCCCCCUUUAUUCACUGACUUCUGGGAGCAGCGGGAGUUUUCCUGAGGAGACUCUCUAGAGAGACUUGGAGGGGGGCGUCAGUCUCGGGAGGGCGCUGGCCCGGUCCCCGCCACCAUACAGGGUCCCCCAGCACGGUCGGAGCGAUCACCUCGAAAUCUCCAAAGAAACCCGGGUGUGAGAAGCAGCGUGGGGCUGGGGAGGAACAUGAGCUCUGACACAGAAUGUUCCUUGAUGUGGCCGUAAGCUUCACCCCCAAAGAAGAACGUGCCUGCACGCUGCCUUCAGAGGAAGCUCUAUGGGGACUUGAUGCUGUAGACCUGCCAGCACCUGCAGGCUGUCGCUGGGAACCAUGUGUGGCCGACUUUCCUGGAAGAUCCACUGGGGCUCCUGUCAGGAAUUUCUAUUCUCACACGUCAAGAAGCAAAGCCUCCGUCACUUCAAAUCUCCCUGAUCUGGUGACUCCCGGAGACUGCCCACUGGGUCAGGAAUUUGAAUUUUUAUUCUCACACGUCAAGAAGCGAAACCCCUCUCAUUUCAGAUCUCCCUGAUCUGGUGACUCCCGGAGACUGCCCACUGGUUCCCAUUUUGUUGUUGCCGUACUUCUGCGCCACACCCUAAAGUGCUCAGGCCUUACUCCUGACUCUGAACUCAGGAAUCACUGCUGCCAGUCGCCCAUAAGCUUUGCAUGGGUACUGGUCUUGGGUCUUGCACAGAGCUUAUUUCAGAUCCUCAGGAAUUAGAGAUGGGAAGAUGGUGACACGCUUUCUGAUUCACUGUCCACAGAAAAAUAAUUUCUGCUUCACCUGUCAGGUUUCAGAGCAAUCUCUCAUUGACGGAGGUAUUUCUCCCGGACCAGAGGCUGCCCCUUCUGUUCUGGUGAUUCCCUGGACCCACGUGCUGAUCCUUGGGAAUUACAGAAGCUGCAGACAAUGUUGAAGAGCCAUCUGAUACACUGUUCCCAGGUUGGAGGAGAACAAUGUGGUGACAUGAUGCAGUGACAGGCAGAAAGGAAAUCGUAGCUUCAGGGGUUUUCACUGCAACAAUUUGAUUUGGGAAUUGAGUCACCAAAAACGAGUGAAUUGGGAAGCAGCCAGCCCUAGUGGAAUGUCUCUGAUCCUGCACUGUGUGACAGUGUCUCAGAGUGAGCAAUCUCGCCCUCUGCCCCAUGGGGAUGCCGAGACAGGCCUAAUGUCUUCUGAGGGUGAUCAGAGUGGAGAGAUCAACCUCACAGUGAAGAAGCUUUCCCCUGGGAAAAACUCCUCACAGUCUGUUCUCCUCAGUUUCUGGACACAAACCCCUCAAGGCAGAAGCCCCAGGACAGUGGGAGAGGAGCACCGUUUAUGAAAGAGUCAUUCUGGAGAGAAACCAUAUUCAUGUCAGGACUGUGGAAACGUCUUUGCUUAUCACUCAAGCCUUUCUGUGCACAAGGAUAAUCACACUGGAGAGAAACAGUGACUGAAAUCAUCAGUAUGGAGUGGCCUCUGAAGAUCACUUAGAAGUAUGGAAUGCUGAGAAAGAGCUGUCUGGACCUGAUGCUAGACUUUGGUAGCUGAAUGAUGCUGGGGAGAGUUACCAGAUCCUCAUUUAGAUAGGAAGGCUGUGAGCAGAGGUGAUCUAAAUGGCAAGUUUAAGAUACAUGAAACUUAAAAGCGGUGAUAAAAUUGAGUGAUGUUCAGUAACAUCUCUGUAAUAUGAAUAAAAAUAUUGUGAUACGAUGCAAAGUCAAGGCAGAGAUAAUGCUAAUACUAUUGUUGUGCUUUGUUGCCUGUCUUCUUUUUUGGGGUCACAUGGUGAUGCUCAGGGGUUACUCCUGGCUUUACACUCAGAAAUCACUCCUGUUGGUACUCGGGGGACCAUAUGUGAUGGCAGGGAUAAAACCCAGGUCAUUUGCAUGCAAGGCAAAUGCCCUACCAGCUGUACUAUUGCUGUGGCCCAAGGCAGUCUUGUUCAUAUCUAGGGCAGUAGUCUUACAUUUCAAAGACUUUGGAAGUUAGAGGGCCAUAAGUCAUCUAACAAGUGUUGCAAAGAUGUGUACAUUUGUGGACGUCUGUUAGGCUUGAUCCAAUCCCUUGGCAGUAUUAAUGUAUUAAGGCCUUAUACUCGUAGACUUGAGGACUAGAAUCUGUCCAGACAGUCCUUGUUUACCUACCAGUAUUUAAGAAAUUAAAGUAGACCCACUCUUUUUGUAGAUUCCAAAUAUAAAUUGACAUAUAGAUGUGUAAAUUUUUUUCUGUGUGUGUAGGGGUGCACAGCUGGAGAUGCUCAGGCGUUACUCCAGUCUCUGCACUCAGGAACUAGUUCUAACAGUAAACCGGGGACCAUGUGAGAUGCUGGGGAUCAAAGCUUAUUUGGCUCUGGACAAGGCAAGUUCCUACUCAUUGUACUAUCUCUUCAGCCCCAGACAUGGAAACUUUUAUAAGAUAAUUUCAUUGAAGUUUUCUGUAGUUACUAAAAAAUAAAUAUUAUAAAGGUCUUUGUGAAAA